AUCUUUUACCCUCAUGUAAUCUUGUACCAUCAUGCACUGGUCAUUUGGAAAAUAUUUGUUUAUUGAGUUAUGUAGAUCUCCUAAAUGUUGACCCAUUUCAUUAUGCAUUAUUCAAAUCACAUUCGUUUUUCUCACCAAUACCACCAAGUGGUAUAUACAAAUUUUCUAAAAUUUUAAUUUUUGCUUACAAGCUUUAUUUAUUUUUGUCUUUUCUAGGGCUGCACUCACGGCAUAUGGAGGUUAAUGGGAGCUAGGAGUCUAAUCGGAGCUGUAGCUGCAAUGUGGGAUCCGAGUCGUGUCUGCGACCUAUCCCAUAGCUCACGGCGAUGCUGGAUCCUUAACCCACUGAGCGAGGCUAGGGAUCGAACCCACAACCUCUUGGUUUCUAGUUGGAUUCAUUUCCACUGUACCACAAUGGGAACUCCAAGCUUUAUUUUUAACAUUUAGCUAUAAGCACUAUAAAUUGUGUUCUCAGCCUCACUUCAGGAAAAUGACUGCCAGAUACACAUCUGUCAGUUUUGUUUUUCAGUCAUUUUUUUAAGUAACAGUGCUAUUCCAUGAAAAAAGUUCAGCUUGCCCUUCAACCACACCAGUGCUUUUCCUUGAGGCAUGUAUUAUACUUUCUAUGUAGUAUAAGUACUUUGUUUUCCUAUUUUUUUCAGUAUUAAAAUGCUGUUUACAGAAGAGUCAGAUUAACAAAAAUGAUUUUCCUGCUUCAUCGUAAGUAUUCUUACAUGCCGGUGGCAUUUUUACUGAGUAUGUGGCAGUAAUGGACAUAGCAGCUGCUACCUCGAUCAUGCUAAGGUCAACAGUUGAACCCAAAUUGUACCAUCAGUGGAAAUGGCAAAUCACAUCUUAGUAUUAAUUUUUUAAUUUCCAGAGCCCCCAAAGGAUCUCAGGAGCCCUAAAGAGAUCCAUGGGCCUCUAGUGUAUGGUAACCAUGAAGUCUUACUCUCUACAAACUGAAAUCUAAGAAAGAACUUAGGGAGAUCAUGUAGUCCCCUCUUGAGAUUUCCUCUGGUAUAGGAGCUCUCUUUGCUCCUGCUCCUUCCUUUGUGGUGCUUUUGCGGGAGAGAGGAACUUGGGUAUGUCUAGCAGCCCAUCUCCUCACUGAGGCACUUGAGUAUGCCUCAGUCUCCUCUUUCCUCUUUUUUUCUCUUGGGAGACAGCCAGACUUCCUGCAGAAUGUAUUUCUGGUCUUCUGUGAUUUUGGCAUCACAGGGGCCUGGUUUUGCUUUUCAGUAUUUUCGGUGACUGAGUAGUAAAGCUUCAUUUUAGAAUUCAGUAUUGGAAACUCUACACCUAAGUGUUGUCCUCAAAUCCUUUAUCAGUAGUAAGGGUGUCAUUUUAAUCUCUGUGUGAUCAUUUCUUUCAUCCUUUAUUGGUUCUGAACUCAGGUAAAAGAGGUGUUGUUUAUUGGGAUCCACAAACCCACAACAGAUUGUACUGCCUGGAUGGUCUGUUAGGGGAUAGAUUAACUUAGCAGAAACAGAAAGACCAUGAUAAUAAUUGAUGAUUAUGCCAGGUCCUGUUAUAUUGCUGAUGUAAUGGUUUCCAGACAGGUUUUAACCAGUGAAUCCUUGGCGCUUUUAAUCCUUAGCAGCUCUGGAGAUAAAAGGUAGUGGUUAAUUAUCUUGUGAUUAUAAGGGACUGUGUAUUGUGGUAUUGUGAAAAGGGCUCAGAAUUUCAAAUCCAUAGGCCUUGCCUCUAAGCUCAGUUCUCCCAUUUAAUGAAAGGCUUUUGGCAAGCCCUUUGUAACUCUUUGAUCCUCGGCUUUUCUUUGAGUCAAUUUCUGCCUUCCUUAUCCCUCAAAAGGUUAUAGUGAGGUCUAAUGGACUGAACGUAAGAACCUCUGUGGUUUUUUUUUUGUUCACAGUGUCAUUGUUCUCAUCUCCAAGUAGCAAGUAUCUUGUCUCAUGUGUGACCUGGAUAAACUGAGUCACAGCCUUGUGUUCACUCAGUGUUUUUAAUUUUGUUUUUUCAAGGUAGUAUAAAACUUGUGGAGUUCCUUUGUGGCACAGUGGGUUAAGGAUCCAGCAUUGUCCUGCAAUGGUUGAGUUGCUGCUCUAAUGCAGGUUCAGUCCCUGACCUGGGAGCUUUUACAUGCCUCAGGCGCAGCCUUAAAAAAAAAAGGGGUGAAACUUGAGUAUAUACUUGUAACAGAUCCACAGUACAUGAAGAAAAAUGUUUUAAGUCCUCCUUAAUUUCUCCCCACUCUACUUUCAAUGUCCCCCAGGGCUAAUUACCAUUAACUUUGUUAUGUUUUUAAUGUGUGUGGUUGUGUAUACGUACAUGUGCAUACAUAAUAUGAAUGUUCUUUUUCACUCAUAUGCCUUGAUGAUCUUACCUUUAUCAUAUCAGUAGGUAAAUACCUCCUUUUUUUAAAAAGGAAAAUAGAAAUCAUAAUCUUGGUUUCAAAGUUACAAGGAAACUAAAGAUUCUUCUCUGUCCUAAUUGGGUAUAUGUAGUCUCUACAUUAUUUCAGAUGAUUACAUGUUUCCGCCAGAAUUCACUGUGUCUUGAGGAAAUUUAUCCAUUUUGAAGCUAUUGUGAUUGCUAAAGGAAUUCACUGAACAGCAUAAUUUGGAAUAAUUGGGGUAUUAUUUGACAGAUGUCAAAGGUGAAAAAGCGUUUGGGCAGGUAUGGAGAUUGGUGAUAGGUUGGGUAUGUGCAAAGGCACAGGAGGUGCAAAAGAAUAAGAUAGAGGAGGAUACUGAGGGUCUGAGAUAGAUUUUCAUCAAAAGUAGGGGAGUUCCCUGGUGGCCUAGUGGUUAAGGACUUGGCAUUAUCAUUGUUAUGGCUUAGGUUACUGCUGUGGCUUGGGUUCAGUCCAUGGCCCAGGAACCUUCUGCAUGCCUCAGGCAAAGCUAGAAAAAAAAAAGUUGCUGUAAGGGAGGUUCAGAUAAAGUGCUAUGGGAAUUUUUAAAAAGAAUUUUAACUAAAUUAGUAAUCAGUUGGGUAUUGAUCAAAUAGGAUUUGAGUAUAUACAGAGUUGGACAAUGUAUUGGGAAGUAUUUUCUAGGCAGAGGGAAAAAUAUAAAGAAAAACAAAUGUAUGAAGUACUUGUUGGAAAAAGUGAAUGGGUCAAUGAAAGUAAAUAAUGGGAAACAAAGUUGGAAAGGUAAGACGGGAACCAGGUUUAAGAGGACUAGUUAAUGGACUUUGCUAUUCAGACCUAUUUUUUAAUUAAAAAUUUUUUUUUUUUUUUUUUUUUUUUUUUUUUGCUUUUUAGGGCCGCACCCCUGGCAUAUGGAAGCUCCUACGCUAGGGGUCAAAUCUGUAGCUGCCAGCCUACACCACAGCCACAGCAAUGUGGGAUCCGAGCCACAUCUGCGAACUACACCACAGCUGACGACAACGCUGGAUCCCAGACCCACUGAACAAGGCCAGGGAUCGAACCCACAUCCUCAUGGAUACUGGUUGGAUUUGUUUCCGCUGCACCACAUCGGGGAAAUCUUAGACCUCAUUUUAAAGGUAAAGAAAAGCUACUGGUUUUUUGUUUUUAAUUUUUUUAGAUUGAAGUAUAGUUAAUUUACAAUGUUGUGUUUCUGCAGUACAGCAAAGUGGUUCAGAUACACGCACACAUUCCUUUUAAAGUCACAUUCUUUCCCAUUGUGGUUUAUCACAGCACAUUGAAUAUAGCUCUCUGUAUGUACAAUAGCACCUUAUUGAUCAUCCCCUUCAUGUAAGUUAGCUUCCAACUGCUAACCCGAACUUUUCACUCCAUCCCUCCCCAACCUCCUCCCCCUGUAACAACCACAAAUUUGUUCUCUAUGUGAGUCUGAAAAAGCUAUUGUUUUUUAAGCAGAGGUAUUAUGAUUGUAGCUAUUAAAAGAAUAAUGUAGUGGUGGAAUUGAAUUUCUAUAUAAAAGGAGUUUGGGAAAGCUAGUUGGCUGGGCUUGAAGUUAAAUUCAUAAAGCACCAUAAAUAAUAUUUAAAAAAACAUCAUUUGUGCCAAAAAAGGAGAAGGGAGUGCAGAUUAUACAGAUGACUAAAGUCAAGAAAGAAUCAGAGUUCUCUUGCGGUGCAGUGGGUUAAGGAUUGGGCGUUGUCACUGCAGCAGCUUGGGUUACUGCUGUGGCAUGGGUUUGAACCCUAGCUCAGGAACUUUGAAGCUGUGGGUGAGGCCCCCACCCCCAAAAAAGCCAAAAGAAGAUUUUGUCCUCUUUAAUCAGACAGUCCCUAUACCCUCUUCCCUGUUGCCCCUAGAAAAUAAUUUACUUUUUGCCUAUGAGUUUAUCUAUUUUGAAUACUUCGUAUAAAUGGACUGCAACAUUAUGUAAUUUUUGUGUCUGGCUUCUUUCACCUUGGCAUGUUUUUGAGGUUCAUCACACUGGAGCAUGUAUCAGUAGCUUAUUCCUUUUUAUGGAUGAGUAAUAUUCCAUUAAAUGUACAUACCAUUUUAUUUAUCCACUUACCCAUCUGUGGACUUGGGUAGUUUUCUACAUUUUGGUUAUUGUGAUUAGUGCUGCUAUAAACAUUCCUCUACAUUUGUUUGAGUACCUGGUUUUCAGUUCUUUUGGGUACACACCUAGGCAUGGAUUUAAAAUUUACUUAGGAACUGCCAGACUGUUUUUAGCAGCAGCUGCACCAUUCAGUUUACAUUCUCAUCAGCAGUACACAAGGAAUCCCAUUUUUCCACAUUCCCUGCAAUACUUAGUACUUUUUUUUUCUUAUUUUUUACAGAUGUGCUAGUGGAUGUGAAAUUGUUUCUCAUUAUGGCUUUCAUUUGCAUUUCCCUAACUGCUAAUGACACUGAGCAUCUUGUGCUUUUUGGCCAUUUAUAUCUUUGGAGAAAUGUCUGUUCAAACUCUUUGUCCACUUUUCAAUUGGGUUUCUUGUCUUGAUGAGUUGGGGCAGUUCUUUAUAUAUGCUGUGUAUAUAUGAUCCUUUUUAGAAAUAUGAUUGCAGAUAUUUUCUUGCAUUCUACAGGUUAUCUUUUCACUUGUAUGUCAAUUAUAUCUUAACUUUUAUAUAAGCUAUAUGGCAGUAUUAAUAGUGAUUCUGGUUAUCAUGCUGUAUAUUACAUCCCCAGUAUAUAUUUAUAAUUUGACAUUUGUACAUUUUAAUCAAUUUUAUCCAAUUGACCCCUCUCCCUACACUCCACUUUUGGUAACCACAAGUCUUUUUCUGAGCUUGGGUUUUUGUUUUUUAGAUUCCACAUGUAAGUGAGAUUUACAUUAUUUUUCUUUCUCUGUCCUCUUAUUUCACUUGGCAUAAUGCCCUCAAAGUCCAUUUAUGCUGUUGCAAAUGGCAGGAUUUCCUUUUACAUGGCUGAAUAAUAUUCCUGUGCAUUUGCCUACACACCACAACCUCCUUAUCUAUCCACCCACUGAUGGUCACUUAGGCUGUUUCAAUGUCUUUAGCUACUGUAAAUAAUGCUAGUGAACAUGCGGGUGCAGAUAUCUCAUCAGCAUAGUGUUUUCCCCCCUUUGGACAAUUCCCAGAAGUGAAACUGCUAGAGCAUAUGGUAGUUCUACUUUUAAUUUUUGGAGGAACAUCCAUAAGGCUUUCCACAGUGGUUGUACCAGUUUACAAUCCCACCAACAGUGCACAAGGGUUCUUUUUUCUCCACAUCCUCAUCUAGCACCUGUUAUAGCUUUUUUUUUAAUGAUCGCCAUUCUAACAGAUGUGAGCUAAUAUUUCAUUGUAGUUUUGACUUGACUUUUCCUAGUAAUAAGUCAUGUUGAACAACUUUUCAUAUGUCUGCCAUUUGUAUAUCUUUGGGAAAAUAUCUAUAUUCUUUCCCUCAUAAAAAAAUUUUUGUCUUUCUCCUGACUUAUUUCACUUAGUAUGAAAAUCUCUAGUUGCAUCCAUGUUGCUGCAGAUGCCAUUAUUUCAUUCUUUUUGUGGCUUUAUAAUAUUCCAUUUUAUGUAUGUGUCACAUCUUCUGCAUCCAUUUAUCUGUUGAUGGACACUGAGGUUGUUUCCAUGUCUUGGCUAUUGUGAAUAGUGCUACUCUGAACAUACGGGUGCAUGUAUCUUUUUGAACUAUAGUUUUGUUUGGACAUAUACCUAGGAGUAGGACUGCUGGAUCAUGUGGUAUCACUUACAUGUGGAAUCUAAAAUAUAGCACAAAUGAACCUAUCUACAAAACAACAGACUCACGAACGUAGAGAACAGACUUGUGGCUGCCAAGGGGGAGGGGGGAGAGAGUGGGAUGUACUGGGAGUUUGGGGUUAGUAGAUGCAAACUACUAAGAAUGGAUAAGCAGAAGUUCCCAUUGUGGCUCAGUGGUUAACAAAACUGACAUCCAUGAGGAUGUGAGUUUGAUCCCUGGCCUUGCUCAGUGGAUUAAGGGUAUGGUGUUGCUGUGAGCUGUGGUAUAGGUUGCAGACAUGGCUCAGAUCCCUCAUUGCUGUGGCUAUGGUGUAGGCUGAUGGCUAUAGCUCCAGUUUGACCCGUAGCUUGUACAUGCUGCUGGGGCGGCCCUAAAAG
rnacentral:lncRNA from 1 species